GAUGUUUCUCAUUAUUGUGUUUCUUUCAUUUUUGGAAUGUAAACUCAUUGUCAUUUUUGUAUUCCAGACCCAUAUUCAUUUUCGGAUUUCAUGUCAUUAUAUUUUAUUCCUUCAAUUUGUAAUGAUGUUGCUUCCUGCUCUAGUCAGAUCUUUGUUUUAUUUUUUUGUUUUCUUGUGCAAUCAGAGGUUGCUGCUGCUCAUCAAUUUGGGGAUAAAUGUAUGCCAUGUUAACAAUCAAAACAACUAUUCAUUUUCUUUCUAAUGUGAUGAGAAUUUGCUUCAUCUUUUCUCAA
rnacentral:lncRNA from 1 species